UUUUAACCCUAGAAAGAAACCCAUUUGUCUUCACUUCAACUGUUGCUGGGUUUGGAUCGUUUCCUCCAGGACACGGCUGUGAACUUUAUGAGAAGAAGUGAAAUCCUGUUUACAGCUAGAUGGGUGAAGUUCUUCCUCUGUGUGCCUCUCCUCGUGGCUUAUUCCUCUGCACUUGGACGGUGCCCUAUCAGAAGUGCUGGGAGACCUUGAAGACUGAUUUUAUUUGUUAAGAAGUUUAGGUGGGCAUGGCCAUCUUCAUUGGGUGGUCCACCGGAUGGUGAUAGUAAGUCUCUUUACCUAAAGAUUGAUAUUAUAAGGUUCAACUUAGCAGUUUAUCACAUACGAAUAGAUAGAUACAAGUCUUAUAGAUCUGUAUAAGACUUGAGGUCAGAGACCAUAUAGGGAUGUAGUCACAACAUGAUUUGCAGGAAUUAUGUGAACGCUGAUUAUAUGUUGGUAAAAGAACUUGGGAAUGCAAAGGAUAUGUCAUUGAGGUUCCAAAUUCCAGUUUGCACGACAUCGUUGACUUUUGCGAAAUUCCCAACCAUGUAGGAUGUUUUUCCAAGUCCCCAAAAUUAAUGGUUGAAGCAACACUUGUGGACAUGCUGUUUGGCCUGCAAUAAUUUUUUGAUAACAAUGUUAGCCCGAAAAAGCAGUAGGUUAUUUAAAUAUUAUCCAACUAGGCUGACAUGUAAAGCUUGUUUUUUUUUUUCGUUUUACCAUAAGCUUCUUGGAGGCCAAGGCCACCAACAUUCUUAUACUUCAUGAUAAUGUCGGUAUUUAAGAGGUGGAUCUUUUUCCUUUUUGUAUCAGUAGAACCCCAGAGGAAGUUACUUUGGGUUCUAUUAAUAAUCUUUGUUAUGCUCUUUCAGAGAUGUAAUGCAUAACGUGACUGGGAAUACUGCUAAGUGAAGAUCUGGCAAUUGAGGAAUGCAUAAGUUUGAUAAUGUAGACUACAUUAUGUAGAGUAGUGCAUCAAGUUUGUGUGUGGUGCUGUUCACUCCCAUUUGGUCAUAGGAUUUCCUUUAAAGUUCUUUUAUGAAAAAGUUUCUGCAAGUAUAGCUUUUCUGGUCGAACCCGCCCAAACCAACUAAGAAGAACCGAACCUGACAGACACAUCUUUUUUGUUAUGAAUCAGCCCCAGCCCAAUGUCUCACAAGUAGCUAUUAGGCUGACUGCUGAGAAGAGGUUUUGGGCCGAGAACAAGUAAUUGGGGCAGGUUUAUUUGGGAUCCACGUUGAGUAUAUGAUGCAAGGAUGGUUCUGUUAAAAGGGGACUGGUCGGUUAUUUUGGGAUGAGGCAUAUUGUUGAGAAAGGUGUCCGCUUCUCCUAGUCUCCCAUUCUUCGAGUCUAAUCUUCUUAUCCACUUCUUCUAUCUAUCCCUAGUUACUUUACUUCAUGCAAUUUCUAUUGUAAUUCUGCUACUAAGUUGUUGCAUUUUGAUAUUUGAGUUGUAAUCACAUUUCAGUCUUACUCUCGAUUUGAGUUCAUUACAUUUUUCCUUUUGGGAGUACUGUGACACAGGUGUUACAGAUCUAUUCCUGUCUCACUUAUGAAGAGUUACUUCAACGUUUCCUUGGUCAUUUCUAGCGAUUACCUUUCUGCAGAUUUGACAUUUUACAGUUGUGAAGAUAUUUACUAACCUUCUUGGUUAAAAUUUCCGAUUGUGCUUGUUCACAGCCUCUUGUGCUCGAUUUUGUGUUUUUGUAACUUUCUUUAUGACGUAAAUAGAUUUUUCUAGUGUUUUUCAGGGCCUCUCGUAAUGGGCAUUGAGAGAUUGUGGUGGUGUUUGGGCUUCCUUCCCUACGGUUGCAUGGUCACUGCCGUUCUGGAUUUUGUUCAUUAUUCGAUAUCUUUCAUCGUAAUAUUUAUGGGCUAUUUUUUUCAUUUGGCUGUGCUAUACUCUAUUGUUUAUUGGCAUCAGUACAUGCCUUUCCGGUUAAUUGGUGCCAAGGCGAAAUUCAUGAUUGAGGUCAUUCCCAUGAUAACUGCAGCAGCCUUGCAUCACCUUUUGGAGUUCAAUUAUGGGUAUCUCGCUCUACUGCUAUGCUGCACCACAUAUUUUUACACCGUUGCCCACUUCUUGCACUUAGCAUAUGAUAUCGGGGAAAUAGACGUAUUGCUGGGAAUAGUUAUGCAGGUUCUUGCUUACAUGCUGAACGUAGGAUUGUUAGCUAGAGCUUUGGCUUUGAGCUUCUGCUUUGUUUUAUGUUUCUAUAGAUACAUGACGUAUUGUGCUCCUGAACUACCUGUUCAUCAUAAAAAGGAGUUGGAGCAGCUACCUUGUUGAUCUGUAUGUACUUUUUGAAAGUAAUAGAGAAACUUGCAAUUAAUUUUUUGUCA